GACCUCGGAUCAGGUAGGGAUACCCGCUGAACUUAAGCAUAUCAAUAAGCGGAGGAAAAGAAACCAACAGGGAUUGCCUCAGUAACGGCGAGUGAAGCGGCAACAGCUCAAAUUUGAAAUCUGGCCUUCGGGUCCGAGUUGUAAUUUGCAGAGGAUGCUUCGAGCAUGGUCUAGUCUAAGUUCCUUGGAAUAGGACGUCAUAGAGGGUGAGAAUCCCGUAUGCGACUGGGUGCCUAAGCUCAUGUGAAGCUCCUUCGACGAGUCGAGUUGUUUGGGAAUGCAGCUCAAAAUGGGUGGUAAAUUUCAUCUAAAGCUAAAUAUUGGCCAGAGACCGAUAGCGCACAAGUAGAGUGAACGAAAGAUGAAAAGCACUUUGGAAAGAGAGUUAAAUAGCACGUGAAAUUGUUGAAAGGGAAGCGC
rnacentral:rRNA from 1 species